rnacentral:misc_RNA from 1 species
CAUAUAUGCAUUUUCUGUCAAGGCCAAAAUAAAACCCUCUCAGAAAGCUGCAAACAAUUAAAAGAACGAAAAAACAAGAAAUGUGGAAAGAUAAACCACCUGGUGUAAUUUAACCAAAUGUACCAAAAAUCGAGAUGGCUGUUCCUGAAGCAGAUGACUGCUAGCUCUUCCUUUUUCCGUUUCAUUAUCACCUUGAAUUAUGUGGGUUCGAAGAAGAACCAACCAUUGUUGCUGGUGCAUAUGUUGUGUCAUGCAUUUUUUUUUAAUACUAAAUUGAUAGAAGCCGAAUUGCCAGAAAUUACUAGAAUGUAACUUUACAAAAGUCCAUCUUCUACUAAAAAAAUGAUGUACCUCAUCUCCAAUGAUGGAUACCACCAGUUGUCAAGCUGUCAAUGCAUCGUGACAAUCCCGAUCAGUUAAUACAUUAACAACAAUAUGCUUUCAGUUGAUUACAGAUCCAAACAAAUGGAAUUAAAUAGCCUUAGAGUAGUGAUUUUCAUAAGCCCUAAUAUGUACCUUCCCUGCCUCUAAUGCACUUGAUUAUUCUCUGU